rnacentral:rRNA from 1 species
UACGGGGGGGGCAAGCGUUGUUCGGAAUUACUGGGCGUAAAGGGUGCGUAGGCGGCUCUCUAAGUCGGAUGUGAAAACUCUGGGCUCAACCCAGAGCCUGCAUCCGAAACUGGAGGGCUAGGGUGCUGGAGGGGAAAGCGGAAUUCCUGGUGUAGCGGUGAAAUGCGUAGAUAUCUGGAGGAAUACCGGUGGCGAAGGCGGCCCCCUGGACAAAGACUGACGCUCAGGUGCGAAAGCGUGGGGAGCAAACAGG